rnacentral:rRNA from 1 species
AGAAUGACUCUCGGCAACGGAUAUCUAGGCUCUUGCAUCGAUGAAGAACGUAGCGAAAUGCGAUACUUGGUGUGAAUUGCAGAAUCCCGUGAACCAUCGAGUUUUUGAACGCAAGUUGCGCCUGAUGCCAUUAGGUUGAGGGCACGUCUGCCUGGGUGUCACAU